UCUCUCUCUCAUAUCACAUUAUUAAUGAUCUAAUUUUGUCUUAAUUAAUAUGUCUGAUGAAGCUGCAGUUAGAAAUUUAUGUCGAAAGCAAUGAGAUUCCAGAAUGGUGCAGCAAUAAAGUAACAGCUCCAUCUAUUUGUUUGACUAUGCCCACAGUACAGAAUAAUGAGUAUAACUUCUUAGGAAUGGUUCUCUGGUUUGUUUCCCACUUUUGCAAUGUAACCACCCGUCUUCAAAAGUUUGAUGUUACUAUUGGCCAGCCUUCAGCUUUUUUCUUGACUUGGGUACCUGACAGUCAGGGAGAAGUAUCAUGUGUACAUUACUUAUCUUUCUCAAAUGGUAGACCUUUUAAUGGCCUGAACAUCAUCAAAGGCGGGGAACAGAUAAGAGUAGAGGAUCACAGUGAUGGAGGCAUAAUAAAGAAGAUAGGAGUACGUCUGUUAUAUUUAGAUCAACAUGGUAAUGUUACUUCUUUCCCGGCAGUUGUGGAUCAUUCUUAUACUCCCAACCCACAAAGAUAGAUGUUUGAUUUGGGUUGAUAUAAAUUGUUAAGCUGACAAAAAGUUGACAAGCAAACUACAUACUGUAAUAAAUAGAAUUCUUACAAGUGCUUCGACAUUAUUGCUGCUUUGAUGUAUUUGUACAAGAUUUUAUGUGAACAUUCCCUGGCCAAUUGAAACAAACACUGUUAGCAACAUCUAAUACUAUAUCAAUCAUGAAAUUUUCAGUGAAACGUUGCCACUAUAACGAGGUUUGACUGUACUUGCAUAAUGUUAAACCAUCAUCGUACAAGACAUGCCACCCUUACCUACAAGGUGGAGCAUUUUCAUCAGACAUGCUCAAAUGCAACAAAUCCAUACGGAUAUGAUGAUCAAAAUUGAAUGACCGCGAAAGAAAUUAAACGAAUAGAAGCUAGAAUGUCAAUUGACUCACUAAUAAUCCCCUCAAGUACCCGAGGUUGCAUAUUAAUUCCUCCCAAGAUAAAACGGAUUAACCAUUAACGAAGUAGCAGUACCUCAAACUUCGAUAAUUUCAACGAACUCAAAAUGACAGCAACGAAUCAUACACAGACACGAUCAAUUGAUUUUGUUUUUUUAAGAAAUGUAUGCAAAAGAAGGGAAGAAUUCGAUGCAGAAAAAUGGGAGGAAACUUCUCUAUUUAUAGCCAACAAAGGGUAAAGGCACAACCCUUUGGAAAGAAGACAACCUUUCAGAGAGGUCACAACACUUUCAAAAAGGCAUAACCUUUCAAAUGGUCAUAACCCUUUAGAAAGGACACAACAUUUCAUAAAGGUCACAAUCCUUCGGCAUAGUCACAACUCUUCAGGAGAGUCACAGCCCUUCAUUUCCUGUUCACACAUUUAAAACCCAACAAUCCCCCACAUGAAUAGGGAAUGGCUAUUGUUAAAACAUAUGCAUGAAAAAUUGUGUGAUUUGUAAUUAAGGAUUGAUUGCCUCUGGAUAAGUGGGUUUCCCUUUGAACUUUCCAUAGUGAACAUAUAUCGGAUAUACUCGGUCAAUCGGUAGAUUUGAUAUCUUUGAACCGUCGAGCUUUGGUGUAUACCUAGACAACAUAAGUCACACAAUCAACCCUUGAACUGUUUUUGGUUCUCAUUGUUUUAUUCUUUUCGGCCAUGAACACGUCUCAGUUUAUAAGUGCGUAGAGAACUGGCCUUACCAGAUUCUCCUUGAAGCGGCUUACACUUCACACUUACAUAGGUGAUUUCUAAAAUGUGUUAUCCCAUAGAUACACCAUUUGAUAUACGCUGUAUCAAACUUAGAAAUCAUUAAAAAGUCCUAAUGCAUUUAUCCUUGUUACUGAACAUUGUCUUAUCAUGAGAAUGGACCAUAAAAAAUAUUUUGACAAUGUUGAACCGUCAUCAAUGACUUUGUUUGAUCUCCUUGAACCUAGAUCUUGGGAUCUCCAGUCUUCUAGGUAGAGUUACCGCCACAAUGACUUGUUCUCGGCCAUAGUCCCAUUCCCUUUGAUAAUCUAUCAACUCCCUCUCUAGUUAGGCCUUUUAUAAGUGGUCCGACACAUUAUCCUUUGACUUUACAUAGUCAAUUAUGAUAAUUCCACUAGAGAGUAGUUCUCUAACGAUAUUAUGUCUACGUCAUAUAUGAUGAGACUUCCCGUUAUACAUCAUGCUCCAUGCCCUACCUAUUGAGAAUUAACUCUCACAGUGUAUGCAUACCGGAGCUAAAAGGUUUGGGCCAAAAAUCUUUUAAGAAAUUUUGGAGUCAUUCAACUUCUUCACCCGCCUUAUCUAGAGUGAUAAACUCAGAUUUCAUAGUAGAGUCAUAUAAUAUAUGAUCAUGAUUACGUUGGCAUCAUCUCAUCCCAUUGACGAAUGACUCCUAAAUGAAUUUUGAUCAAUUAUUUCAAUCCACUUUCCCAUAAUGUGAAAGAGAUUCAAAGAAGAAUGGACUUUGAGAUGCCAAAAAGAAGAGUGAGAGAGUUGUGUUGACAAUUAAUAUGAAAGCAAGUCACAAAUUAUCUACUAAAGUCAAUCUAGUCCAUAAGUGAAUUAUUAGAGAUAUAAAAAUAAAAAUCUUUAUUAUUUUUAUUAGUGUGACCAAUUAAAAAUCUAGGAAGGAAGUGAAAAUUAAUACUUAUCAUGGACAAAUAAAAAUUAAAAAUGAAGGAAACAUGUCUAUGAAAUAUCUUGGGAACUUCCCUUUCAUUUCUGUUAACCUUCUUUGGGGAGGAUUGUAAAUGAGUUGACCCAAAAUAACAAACAAUUACUUGUGGGUGGUGUUCAUGGUUUGGAUAAAACCAAUCCAAACUGAAAAAUCGAAUCAAAUCGAUAAAAUAAAAUCGAUUUUAUUUGGAUUUGAUUUUAGAUUUUUAAAAACCGAUAGUAUUUGGUUUGGUUAUGGUUUUAUUCAAAAAAACCGAAGAAAUAACUGAACCGAUGAAUUAUAUACAUAUAUUUUAUUAAUAUACAUACUUAAUAUAUUGUUUUUAUAAGCAACUUUAAAGAUCUUACAUAUAUUUUCAUUAAUUUUUUUUUUAUAAUUUACUUAUUGAAAGCAAAAAUGCCCAAGAUAAAAAUAUUUAUCUUAUUGAUUUCAUAUAUAUGAAUGUCUAUGACAAUUCUUUGUGGAACUGAAAAUGUUAUUGUCUCUUCCUUCUAGGCCAAUAUAGUGAAUUUUAAAGUUUUAUUAAUAGUAAAUUUAGUGAUCAAAAGUUCAAUAAUUUAAGUCAUUCUAACUAUUUUUCGUUUUGAAUGGAUUGUUGUCACUUUUUUCACAUUUUGAAUGAAUUAUUUCUUUUAUUUUUGUGUAUGGUUAAUAACCGAACCAAAUCAAACCGAAACUAAUAACCAUCAAACCGAUAAAUGUAUAUUAUAUUUGAUUUGAUUUGGUUUUGAUAAUUUUAAAACCGAUUAAGUUGGUUUGAUUUUGAAUUUGACCACUAACCAAUACCUACUUGUGGGUAUAUAAAGUGCUGCUUCACUCAUCUCUAUUUAAUUAAAAAAAACAAAAGUUGACUAAAAUUCUCUUUAAUUUAUUGUCAUCAAAUAUGAAUACUCAAUUUGUUGUAGGAGAAUCAUCUUCUUCUUCCAACUUCUCUUAUGAUGUAUUUCUCAGUUUCAGAGGUAAAGAUACCCGUAAAAACUUCACCGGUCAUCUUUAUUUCCGAUUGUGUCAAGUCGGAGUUAAUACUUUCAUAGAUGAUGAGGAAUUGAGAAAGGGAGACGUCAUUUCAACAGAACUUGAGAAAGCAAUUGAAGAAUCUAGGGUUGCCAUUGUUGUUUUCUCCAAAAAUUAUGCUUCGUCUAGUUGGUGUCUCGAUGAACUUGUCAAAAUUCUCGAUUGCAGAGAGAGGUUAAAUCAGGUAAUUUUGCCUAUUUUCUAUGAUGUUGAUCCUUCUCAAGUGCGAAAACAAACUGGGUCCUUUGGCGAAGCUUUGGCAAAACACAAGGAACAAUUGUUUGGAGUUCAAAGAGUGGAGAAGUGGAGAGCUGCACUUACUGAAGCUGCGAAUUUAUCUGGAUGGGAUUUGCGAAACAUGGCUGAUGGGUAAGACUUCUUAAUUUAACUAUAGAGUUUUGAAUUUAAGCGUUUGCCUAAGCUUAUAAGUCAAUAGUGGACAAUAUUGAGGGACAAAGAAAGGAAGUUGGUUUACAUAAAUUGGGACGAAGGAGUAGUAGUAGUAAUAGAUAAUCUCCAUUCUCUUACCUCGAUUCCUGUUAGUUGAUUUUGUUUUGUUCAUCAAAUAUCAAAGUAUUGUUUUACUUGUUUUUUUACUUUUAACUUCUUUUAUUGCUAAAAACUGUAGGCAUGAAUCAAAAUUUAUUGGAAGUAUUAUAAAACAAGUUUUGCAAGAGGUCAACCAGACACCUCUAGAUGUUGCUCAUUACCCAAUUGGAUUAGAUUCUUCUAUCGAACAUAUAGAGUUGUUACUGCAAAGUGGAUGUGAGCAUGAAGUUCACAUGGUUGGUAUAUGUGGCGUUGGUGGAAUUGGAAAAACAACUCUGGCGAAAGCUAUCUACAAUCGAAUAUUUCGACAAUUUGGUGGUUGUUGCUUCCUUUCAGACACUAGAUCAAAAGCUAAAGAACAGGGUCUAGUCAAGCUACAAGAGAAACUACUUUGUCAAAUUCUCAAAACUAAGGAAUUCGAAGUUGAUAGUGUUGAUGAAGGUGUCAAUCUAAUCAAAGCAAGACUUGGGUCAAAGAAGGUUCUAAUUGUUCUUGAUGACGUGGAUCAUAGAAGCCAAUUAGAAUCCUUAACAAGAGAAAGAAGUUGGUUUGGCUCUGGCAGUGUAAUAAUUAUUACAACCCGAGACAAGCAUUUGCUAUAUGGGCUUACAACAAGUGAGAUACACCAGGCCAAACUUUUAAAUAAAAAUGAAGCUCAACAACUUUUUUGUUGUCAUGCUUUUAACAGCCUUUCUCCAUCACAAGAAUAUGUUGAGCUGGCACAAGACAUAAUAAAAUAUUCAGGUGGGCUACCAUUAGCUCUUGUGACAUUGGGGUCACAUUUGCAAGGGAGAUCCGUAGAAGAAUGGAGAUACGAGUUCAUAAAACUAAAAGCAAUUCCUCAUGGUGAUAUUCAAAAGAUUCUCCAGAUAAGCUUUGAUGGACUUGAUGACAAUCCUAAGAGUGUUUUCCUUGAUAUCGCAUGCGCCUUUCAUGUGUGUUAUGAGGAUGAAGUUACCAAAGCAUUAAAUGCGUGUGGUUUUUAUUCUAAAAGUGCAAUUUCAACCUUAGUCGAAAGGAACUUGCUCCAAAGGGAUUGGCCUUAUUUGGUGAUACAUGACCUUGUGCGGGAUAUGGGAAGAGAAAUCGUUCGCAGGGAAUCACCUCGAGACUCUGGGAAACGGAGUAGAUUGUUCAACCCUCAAGAAGUCCAUGAUGUUCUACAAGGAAAUAAAGUAAGUAAAUUUCAUUAUCUUUAUCUUAGUUAUACAAUUGCUUAUAAUUUAGGUUGUCACCAGAAGAACUCAAUUCAUUUGUGCUUAAUUCUUCUCUGGCUAGUAAAUUAUCUCUAGUUGUUUGCCAACCACUCUUUCCUAAUUUCUCGUACUUUUCUUUUUACUAAACUACAGGGUUCCGAAAAUAUAGAAGUAUUGGUGUUAGAACGACAUGCAUUAAAGGGUGUGAAGCUGAGCACAAAAGCAUUUCAGAAAAUGAUAAAACUUAGGGUGCUUAAAAUCGACGACUUACAUAUUAGUGGAGAUUUUGAGCUAUUGUCCAAGGAGCUCAGAUGGUUGUCUUGGAAAGGAUGUCCUUUAAAAUGUAUGCCAUCAAAUUUUCCAGCUGAGAAACUUGUAAUCCUGAAUAUGAAAGGGAGCAAUAUCGAAGAAUUUGGUUUGAAUUUGCAGGUUUAUUACUCAAUUCUGCAAUUUGAUGUAUACUGUUAUAUUGCAACUACGUGAAGGAAAAUGUUAAUUGAAAUUAUAUUUUUUUACUUCUUAGUAUUGUAGAAGUUUGAAGGAGCUGAAUCUUUCUGAUUGCAAACGCCUCAGAAGUACUCCAAACUUCAGGGGUUCACGAAGUCUUGAAACUUUGUCGCUUGAGAAUUGCUCAAGUCUAAAGGAGAUCCAUCCAUCAAUAGGAAAUUUGGAAAGACUAACUGAUCUUCAAUUGAAUGGUUGCAAAAAGAUAUCAGAUUUUCCGAGCAGCAUAUGCCAGCUAAAUUCCCUUAAAUACUUGGACAUUAGUUACUGCUCAUCUUUACAAACACUGCCAGUUGACAUUGGAGAUAUGCACAGCCUAAGACAUAUUUAUGCACGGGAUACGGGUAGAAAACAACUGCCCGAAUCUGUUGAAAUGCUAAGAAAUCUUGAAGAAUUGCUAGUGGGAGGUCGAAAUUUAGAGGCCAAAAGGAGUUUUUCUCGAAGAAGAGUUCGCCGCAUAGAAUCCUUGUCAAUGUUUAUUUUUCAUUUAAGCCUUCCAUAUUUUGGUUUAUCCGAUGAUGAUAUUCCUAGGGACAUUGGGAGAUUAUCCAACUUACUUUAUUUAGAUUUGAGGGGCAACAGUUUCCUCUAUCUACCCUUUGAUUUUUCCAAGUUACCAUUGUUGAUGUAUUUGUAUUUGAAUGAUUGUAAGAAUCUUCAAACACUCCCGUCAAUAUCAAAUUUAGAGAAGCUUAAAAUUGUUGACCUUAGGAAUUGCCAAAAACUGGUCAAGAUUACAGGGUUGGACAACCUCCCUUCAAUAAAGAAGAUGGACAUGAUUAAUUGUACUUGUCUGCAGAAUCCAUUCAAUGAAGGCUUCUUUAGUGCCCCUGCUCUAUCAAUUCCAUCUAGAAAAUAUCCAGAGCAUGAAGUUAGUCCCUCUCUCUCUCUCUCUCUCUCUUGAAUCACUUUAUUAUUUAAUGUUCUAAUAAUGUCUUAAUUUGUCUGAUGAAGCAGCGGUUACAAGUUUAUGUCGAAAGCAAUGAGAUUCCAGAUUGGUGCAGCAAUAAAGUAACAGCUCCAUCUAUGCGUUUGACUAUGCCUACAGUAGAUAAUAAUGAGUAUAACUUCUUAGGGAUGGUUGUCUGGUUUGUUUGCCAUUGCAAUGUAUUCACCCUUCAUCAAUACUUCGAUGUUACUGUUGCCCAUAUAAAGCCUUCAGCUUUUCCGUUUAGUUUGGAUUUUGAUAUACCUGAGCCUGACAGUCAGGGAGAAAUAUCAUGUGUAUAUUACUUCUCUUACUCAUAUGAUACACCUUUUAAAGGCCUGAACAUCAAAGGCAGGGAACAGAUAACAGUAGAGGAGGGCACUGAUGAAGGUACAGUAAAGAAGAUAGGAAUACAUCUGUUAUAUUUAGACCAGCAUGGUAAUGUUACAUCUUUGCCGGGAGUUGUGGAUCAUUCUUAUACACCCUCCUACCCACAAAGACUUUCAGCAGGGCAUAUCAACCCAAACAAUAACAACAGUGAAAUUCCACGAGUGAGGUCUGGAGCAGGGGAUAUCAACUCCUCCAUGAUAAAAGAGCAAAGUUCUGAGGGUGUAUUCGGUACCAAGGAAAAUGUGUUCGAUGGAAAAUGUUCUUUUUUUGGAAAAUGUUUUUCCGGAAAAUAAGUGGGUUUCUUACUUGUUUUCAUUAGGUAAGAAAAAAGUCUAUUCUAGAAGUAUUUGUAUAUAUAACAGUAAGUAGAAAUGUUACAAGUGUUUGUAUUCAUUUUUUAUAGGUGGAUCCACCAUGUAUAGAAUGCACAAAAUCAAUAUUUGGUUGGCAUUAUGAUCAUAAUAUUUAAUUUCUACUCCCUUUUUUCCUGAAAAAAUACUAUAAAAAUGAAGUUGGAGCAGAAGAAAUUGUAUAAUAAAUAAUUUGGGACUUACUCUCUUAUAUGUGGUGCUAGGGGAGUGCCCGUUCUCAUUCUGUGAAAUGUGCACAAUUUUUUGCAGAUGAAAAAGGUGAUGGAACCAUGCAAUAUGCAUCAUCUCUCGGGAAUUUCAAGUAGUUUAAGCAGAUGUUUAUAUGUGAUAUUUGAAAAAAAUAUGUAUUUGGAAGUUAAAAUUGUGUUUGGACUUUGGUGGACAUGUAGAAGUUGGGAGAGGAAAAAAACUUUAUGUUAUUUAGAUUUGAGCGGCAAUAGUUUCCUCGAUCUACCUUUUGAUUUUUCAAAGUUACCAUUGUUGACGUCCUUGUGUUUGAAUGAUUGUAAGAAUCUUCAAACACUCCCGUCAAUAUCAAAUUUAGAGUAACUUCAAAUUGCCAAAAACUGGUCAAGAUUACAGGGUUGGACUAGCUACCUCCCGUCAAUAGAGAAGAUGGACAUGAUUAAUUAAUUGUACUUCUCUGCAGAAUCCAUUCAAUGAAGUCUUCUUUGGUGUCCAUUCUCUAUCAAUUCCAUCUAUAAAGUAUCCAAUGCAUAAGGUUAGUCCCUUUAUUUUUCUCUCUCUCGUAUCACAUUAUUAAUUAAUGUUCUUAUUGUGUCUUGAUUUGUGUGAUGAAGCUGCAUCUAUCUGUUUCACUAUUCCCACAGUACAUAAUAAUAAGUUGUUAGGAAUGGUUCUCUGGUUUGUUUGCGACUCUAAGAUUUUAUCAGAUUUUGGACACUUCAUUAUUGUUGUAUCCAAUAAAAAGCCUUUAGUUUUUUUUUUUUACUGGACUAGGUAUCCCGAAUCACACGGGGAAGUAUCAUGUGUAUAUUACAUAUCUUGCUUAACUAAACAUGGAAAAGAUAACAGUCGAGGAGGGCCGUGACAAAGGUAGAGUAAAGAAGAUAGGGGUACAUCUGUUAUACUUUGACAAACAUGGUAAUGUUACAUAAUAUACCUGACAGUCAGGGAGAAGUAUCAUGUGUAUAUUACUUAUCUUUCUCAAAUGGUAGACCUUUUAAAGGCCUUAAGAUCAAAGGCGGGGAACAGAUAACAGUAGAGGAUGGCACUGACGGAGGCAUAAUAAAGAAGCUAGAUAGGAGUACAUCUGUUAUAUUUAGAUCAACAUGGUAAUGUUAUAUCUUUCCCCGCAGUUGUGGAUCAUUCUUAUACUCCCAACCCACAAAGAUAGAUGUUUGAUUUGGGUUAAAUAUAAUUUUUUAAGCUGACAAAAAGUUGACAAGCAAACUAUAUAUUGUAAUAAAUAGUAUUCUUACAAGUGCUUUGAGAUUAUUGCUGCUUUGACGCAUUUGUACAAGAUUUUAUGUGAACAUUCCCUGGCCAAUUGAAACAAACACUGUUAGCAACAUCUCAUACUAUAUCAAUCAUGAAAUUUUCAGUGAAACGUU
rnacentral:lncRNA from 1 species